rnacentral:rRNA from 1 species
UACGGAGGGUGCAAGCGUUAAUCGGAAUUAUUGGGCGUAAAGGGCGCGUAGGCGGGACGGAAAGUCAGACGUGAAAUCCCGGGGCUUAACCUCGGAACAGCAUCUGAAACUACCGUUCUUGAGGAUAGAUGGGGAAAACGGAAUUCCACAAGUAGCGGUGAAAUGCGUAGAUAUGUGGAAGAACACCAGUGGCGAAGGCGGUUUUCUAAUUUAUUCCUGACGCUAAUGCGCGAAAGCUAGGGGAGCAAACAGG